rnacentral:tRNA from 1 species
CGGGAUGUAACGCAGUUUGGUAGCGUGUCUGCUUUGGGAGCAGAAAGUCACAGGUUCGAAUCCUGUCAUCCCGA